GAGUUUGAUCAUGGCUCAGAUUGAACGCUGGCGGCAGGCCUAACACAUGCAAGUCGAACGGUAACAGGAAGAAGCUUGCUUCUUUGCUGACGAGUGGCGGACGGGUGAGUAAUGUCUGGGAAACUGCCUGAUGGAGGGGGAUAACUACUGGAAACGGUAGCUAAUACCGCAUAACGUCGCAAGACCAAAGAGGGGGACCUUCGGGCCUCUUGCCAUCGGAUGUGCCCAGAUGGGAUUAGCUAGUAGGUGGGGUAACGGCUCACCUAGGCGACGAUCCCUAGCUGGUCUGAGAGGAUGACCAGCCACACUGGAACUGAGACACGGUCCAGACUCCUACGGGAGGCAGCAGUGGGGAAUAUUGCACAAUGGGCGCAAGCCUGAUGCAGCCAUGCCGCGUGUAUGAAGAAGGCCUUCGGGUUGUAAAGUACUUUCAGCGGGGAGGAAGGGAGUAAAGUUAAUACCUUUGCUCAUUGACGUUACCCGCAGAAGAAGCACCGGCUAACUCCGUGCCAGCAGCCGCGGUAAUACGGAGGGUGCAAGCGUUAAUCGGAAUUACUGGGCGUAAAGCGCACGCAGGCGGUUUGUUAAGUCAGAUGUGAAAUCCCCGGGCUCAACCUGGGAACUGCAUCUGAUACUGGCAAGCUUGAGUCUCGUAGAGGGGGGUAGAAUUCCAGGUGUAGCGGUGAAAUGCGUAGAGAUCUGGAGGAAUACCGGUGGCGAAGGCGGCCCCCUGGACGAAGACUGACGCUCAGGUGCGAAAGCGUGGGGGAGCAAACAGGAUUAGAUACCCUGGUAGUCCACGCCGUAAACGAUGUCGACUUGGAGGUUGUGCCCUUGAGGCGUGGCUUCCGGAGCUAACGCGUUAAGUCGACCGCCUGGGGAGUACGGCCGCAAGGUUAAAACUCAAAUGAAUUGACGGGGGCCCGCACAAGCGGUGGAGCAUGUGGUUUAAUUCGAUGCAACGCGAAGAACCUUACCUGGUCUUGACAUCCACGGAAGUUUUCAGAGAUGAGAAUGUGCCUUCGGGAACCGUGAGACAGGUGCUGCAUGGCUGUCGUCAGCUCGUGUUGUGAAAUGUUGGGUUAAGUCCCGCAACGAGCGCAACCCUUAUCCUUUGUUGCCAGCGGUCCGGCCGGGAACUCAAAGGAGACUGCCAGUGAUAAACUGGAGGAAGGUGGGGAUGACGUCAAGUCAUCAUGGCCCUUACGACCAGGGCUACACACGUGCUACAAUGGCGCAUACAAAGAGAAGCGACCUCGCGAGAGCAAGCGGACCUCAUAAAGUGCGUCGUAGUCCGGAUUGGAGUCUGCAACUCGACUCCAUGAAGUCGGAAUCGCUAGUAAUCGUGGAUCAGAAUGCCACGGUGAAUACGUUCCCGGGCCUUGUACACACCGCCCGUCACACCAUGGGAGUGGGUUGCAAAAGAAGUAGGUAGCUUAACCUUCGGGAGGGCGCUUACCACUUUGUGAUUCAUGACUGGGGUGAAGUCGAAACAAGGUA
rnacentral:rRNA from 1 species